rnacentral:misc_RNA from 1 species
GCAAACUUGGUCAUUUAGAGGAAGUAAAAGUCGUAACAAGGUUUCCGUAGGUGAACCUGCGGAAGGAUCAUUACCGAGUGAGGGUCCCGGAAGGGGCCCAAUCUCCCACCCGUGUUUAACUGUAGCCAUGUUGCUUUGGCGGGCCCACUAGGACCUAGUGCCCUGGUCGCCGCGGGGAAUCCUCCCUGGGCCAGUGCCCGCUGGAGACCAUCAAAACGCUCUUGGAAUUUUAAGCCAGUCUGAGUGAAUUUUUGGACAAAACUGUUUUGAAAAACUUUCAACAACGGAUCUCUUGGUUCCGGCAUCGAUGAAGAACGCAGC